rnacentral:lncRNA from 1 species
UUAGGGCUGGUUUUGAUGAUUAAAGAAGAAAAAAAAUGGAGAGUAAAAUAGAUGUAGAAGACAUAACAACCAAAAUUAAUACUUGUGCUUAUUUAAAUGCUGAAUUAAACAAAUAUGGUAUAAGAAGAAUAUUUUGUUUGAUUCAAUUGGAAACUUUCAGAUAUGAAGCAGAUAUUAAAUACUAUUCAAAUAAUACUAAGUGAUUAAGGUCAAAAUUGUUAGGUUAAUUCCAUAUUGUUAUGUAAAAUUUUAAUAUGAUUUUCAUUUAGGACAACAUACUGGUUUCAGUGGAGAGGUGGUAUGAUAUCUGGAAUUUGCUUUAAAAUCCUGCAGCAAAAAUUAAUUAAAAUAUAUAAAUAAGUAAAUACAAUAAAAACAAGUGGGGUGAUUAGAAAAGAUUGAAAGCAUGUUCACAAUGAUUAAAGCUUGUUUCUAGAUUUGUGGGAGUUCACUAUAAUAUUCUCUCUACUUUCUUUGUUUCAAAAUUUCCAUAAUAAACAAUUAGAAAAAAGUAUUCACGUAUCUAUUUGUUACCUACAUCAAUAAUUUUCUCUUCCUUAUGAGUUUACUCCUUUUAGCUUAUAAACAAUCUGCCGGCUCCCCCACAUAAUGAAACAACAGCACUUAUCUGCUUCUGUAAAAACAAAAAAGUGCUUUAAAACAGGUAGGUGUCUGUAUUUGCUUUCUCCUAUUUUCUAUUCCCCAUUGUCUCUCAAACCCACUACGGUCAGGAGGAUUUUCCACCACUUCACUGAAGCCAUGCUUGUCAGUUUUACCGAAAACUCUCAUAUGGGACAUUUCCCAGUUCACUCUACAAUUCUUAGGUCUUACGCCAAUGAACAGCAGUAUUUGACCCAGUAGAAUGUCGUUUCUUCCUCAAUAUACUUUCAUCUCUCGGUUUCCUUUAUACUGUGCUGCUUUGGUUUUCCUCGUACCUCACUGAUCACUUUUGCCUUUGUUGCUGAGCUCUCCUAUGGAUGCUGACCUUGGGGAGCCUAGCAAUGGCUUUAAAUGUCAUGUCCAUGCUGAUGAUUGCCAAGUACAUCUCAUCAACUCGCCCCUCUCACGAACGUCUGAAAAGCUUACCUGUACUUUCCCUCCUCGCUCCCUCUAGUAUACUCUGAAUGAAAAAGUUACAGAAAUCUGUUUUUAAUAUAAUCUGAUUAAUAUAAAAUCUUCAUUCAAAAACCUAUGGAUUUGUUUCAUUGAGAGGCAAAGCCCAAGCCCUAGAUUGAGAUCCGGGUCCUUCUGUCUGUGGGCUUCCCUCCUGUUAAGACUGAACCGUGUAAAAGUGCGUGGUCCCAGCUUGGGGAUUUUAUAUUGACCUUGUUAAAAGAAAAUCCUUAGCCAAAUUAAAUUUAACAGAGAUUAAUUGAGCAAAGAACACUUCACCAAUCCAGCAGCCUCUGGAGCCAGAGUAUGCUCAGAGAGACUCCAGUACAGCCAUGUGGUGGAAGAGGAUUCAUGGACAGGAAAAGCAAAAAGUCAUAUAGAAUAACUGGUGACAGCUCAGCUUUUCCCUUGUUGGAACACAGUUUGAACAGAUGGUCCCUUUUGAUUGGCCAAAGCUCAGUGAUUGGCACAACCUCAGUUACCGUCUGCUUACAUCUCCAUUUAGGUUACGGUUCACUGUGUACAGAGAAACCUUUAGGCUGGACUUAAAAUAUAUAAGGUGGCAGUUUUAGGAGAAAGUUAAUUUAACACCCUAUAAUGCAAAAUUAUUGAUGCAAAUUAUAUACGACACUAUCUUUAAUAUUGAACAAUCGAAUUACUUUUUUUAUUUUUAACACUAAGUUUUACAUGAGUUAAUCACAAGGUUCAGAAGACUGAAUACUUUUCCAAAGUGAGUAUACAACUGAGUCAAAAUUUUAAUCCAGGUCUUUCUCUGACUCUGGGGUGCUUAUUCUUACCAUUAAAGUACACUGCUUCCAAUGCAAUGAUGGAGAAAUUGGAUUCCCCAUUGUUCAUAGACAUUUGUAAAUAUGUAGAAAGAUCUCCACUAUUUUCAUUUUUACUAAUAUUGCACAGUAAGUUUUAUUCACUAUUACUAGUAGAAAUUAUUUCCCAGUGCUAAUGUCUUGUCCUAAUCACAUUUUAGAUUUUACAAACUAAUACUGAAAAUGGUUUUGUCUGAAUUC